UCGAUUGUUUGAUCAUGGCUCAGGACGAACGCUGGCGGCGUGCUUAACACAUGCAAGUGGAGCGACGAACCAGGCUUCGGCCUGGGGCAAAGCCGCGAACGGGUGAGUAACACGUGGGUAACCUGCCCUGAUGAUCGGGACAACCCGGGGAAACCCGGGCUAAUACCGAAUGUGCCCGCGAGCCACAAGGCUCGCGCGGAAAGGAAGCUUUGGCCUCCGCAUCGGGAUGGGCCCGCGGCCCAUUAGCUUGUUGGUGGGGUAAUGGCCUACCAAGGCAGCAAUGGGUAGCUGGUCUGAGAGGACGAUCAGCCACACUGGGACUGAGACACGGCCCAGACUCCUACGGGAGGCAGCAGUGGGGAAUCUUGCGCAAUGCGCGAAAGCGUGACGCAGCAACGCCGCGUGGGGGAAGACGGCCUUCGGGUUGUAAACCCCUUUCAGUUGGGACGAAGCUUCGUCGGUGAAUAGCCGGCUGGAGUGACGGUACCUUCAGAAGAAGCCCCGGCUAACUACGUGCCAGCAGCCGCGGUAAUACGUAGGGGGCAAGCGUUGUCCGGAAUCAUUGGGCGUAAAGAGCGUGUAGGCGGCCCGAUAAGUCCGCCGUGAAAGUCCAGGGCUCA
rnacentral:rRNA from 1 species